GCGGGUAUAGUUCAGUGGUAGAACACCUCCUUGCCAAGGAGGAUGUCGCGCGUUCGAGUCGCGUUACCCGCU
rnacentral:tRNA from 7 species